rnacentral:lncRNA from 7 species
GGUAUUGACUUGAUGCAAUCUACUAAUCACUGGAAGGCAUCUCUUUUAACUGGAGAAAGCAUUAUAUGAAAAUGGUGAACUGGAGCUACGUGGAGUGAUCUGGAGGGAGCUGUUUUCUCUGGCUGGCCAGGGCAGCAGAGCUGGAAGGACUUGGUGACUGGCUGCGACUAGGACCUCAUGCAUGUAAUGGUUGAAGGAGGGUGAAAUCUGCACAGGAGCUGCCUUGCAUUCUGUUAGAUGUCUUUCUGCUUCUGAAGAUAGAAACUCAUCCUAUUCAAUAUUUGCCUUCUAUGGUCCCGCUUGCUUGCUCUCUGAACUCCCACUGCCAUCCCAGGGAACUGGUUGGUGCCUCUACCAAAGUGUCAGCCCUUCCCCAAGAAGCUGAUGAAGCGUCCUUCCAUGUUGCUGCAGGUUUCGUGAAAGUCUGUGUGUGAAGGACUGAGGAACAGCCAUGAGUUGAUAGUUGAAAGCUAUUUAAAGUCAGAGCAAAAAAAAUCAAUCUCAUAUCGGCUUUAACCUUUCUCUGUGGGGAAGCAUGUAACCCAUAUAAAGAAUAAACUUAGUGACUCAGUCAGUGCCUUUGGUACACAGCGACUAUAACAUGGAAUUGGGCAUCUUUGCUUGAAGCAUUUUUAUCUUCAAGGCUAGUGACUUCCAAUGCUUUCCAUUCUUUUACUCAUGUCUGCUAUGUUGCCACAGGUAUGUGCAAGCACUUUGAUAUGUUUGUGGCUUUUUGAUAGCUUUUUCAAUGGGCACAGCUGAGGCGGCACUAAGGGGUUCUGAGAAACACUCUUGUAAUUGUGCCCAAGAGAGAGGUGAGGGAACUGGACCAAGUUUCUCACCAUUGUUGCAUCUCACUUUGACGAUUACUUCUUGGUGGUUUAUGUUGCAUGGUACCCAAGGUCUCUGUAUGGAGACCACAUGGUAUAGUCUUGACUUCAGCAUCCUACCCAAAUGGCUGUAAAUAGUAACAUGAACAAACUGGGAAGUGUUUUGU